GAUGAACGCUGGCGGCGUGCCUAAUACAUGCAAGUCGAGCGAACAGACGAGGAGCUUUCUCCUCUGACGUUAGCGGCGGACGGGUGAGUAACACGUGGAUAACCUACCUAUAAGACUGGGAUAACUUCGGGAAACCGUAUCUAAGACCGGAUAAUAUAUUGAACCGCAUUGUUCAAUAGUGAAAGACGGUUUUGCUGUCACUAAUAGAUUGAUCCGCGCCGCAUUAGCUAGUUGGUAAGGUAACGGCUUACCAAGGCAACGAUGGUUAGCCGACCUGAGAGGGAGGUCGGACACACUGGAACUGAGACAGGUUCCAGACUCCUACGGGAGGCCGCAGUAGGGAAUCUUACGCAAUGGGCGAGAGCGUGACGGAGCAACGCCGCGUGAGUGAUGAAGGUCUUCGGCUCGUAAAGCUAUGUUGUUAGGGAAGAACAAAUGUGUAAGUACCUAUGAACGUCUUGACGGUACCUAAUGAGAAAGCCCCGGCUAACUACGUG
rnacentral:rRNA from 1 species